GACGAAGGGGGCUAGCGUUGUUCGGAAUUACUGGGCGUAAAGCGCGUGUAGGCGGUUGUUCAAGUCAGGUGUGAAAGCCUUGAGCUCAACUCAAGAAAUGCACUUGAUACUGGAUGACUAGAGGACCCGGAGAGGAUAGUGGAAUUCCCAGUGUAGUGGUGAAAUACGUAGAGAUUGGGAAGAACACCAGUGGCGAAGGCGGCUAUCUGGACGGUUUCUGACGCUAAGACGCGAAAGCGUGGGGAGCAAACAGG
rnacentral:rRNA from 1 species